rnacentral:RNase_P_RNA from 1 species
UGAGGAAAGUCCGUGCUUGCACCAGGGAAUGAUCCUGGCAGGGGCCUAGCUCAUUAAUAGGUCUGCUUUUUCUCACAUGGGUCUGUGGGGGUGGCCCAGUGGGAGUUUUGAGGGUGGCAGGUGGGAGAAGAGGAGCUGUCUGGUUGUUAAGAACACUCUCAGCAAAUUUUUAGGAAAGUCCGUGCUUGCACAGUCUGAGAUGACUAUAGUGAUUGUGUGAGUAUAUAAAAGAUAAAACUCAACGGCUAGUCUGACUAGUUGAUGGCGGAGAACCUUUCUAAAUAAGCUGUAUAGCUUACAUGAGUAAUUCUUUGUAAAGUGCCACAGAGACGAGCUCUAUAGAAAUAUAGAGUGUGAAACGAGGCAAACCCCGCAAGCAAGAAACCCAAAUUUCGGUAAGGGAA